GAAAUGCGAUAAGUAGUGUGAAUUGCAGAAUUCAGUGAAUCAUCGAAUCUUUGAACGCACAUUGCGCCCUUUGGUAUUCCUUAGGGCAUGCCUGUUCGAGCGUCAUCUAAACCUUCAAGCCCUGCUUGGUGUUGGGUGCCUGUCCCGCCUCCGCGCGCGGACUCACCUCAAAUCCAUUGGCGGCCCCCGCGUCGGCCACGAGCGCAGCAGAAACGCGAACUCGUGAGCCCGUCCGGGCGGCUCCCAGAAGCUACACCCACCCAGUUUGACCUCGGAUCAGGCAGGGAUACCCGCUGAACUUAAGC
rnacentral:misc_RNA from 1 species